ACAUGCUGACGAGCGGCGAACGGGUGAGUAAUGCUUCGGAAUCUGCCCAAUGGUGGGGAAUAACCAGCCGAAAGGUUGGCUAAUACCGCAUAAGUCCUACGGGGGAAAGCAGGGGAUCGCAAGACCUUGCGCCGAUGGAUGAGCCGAAGUCGGAUUAGCUAGUUGGUAGGGUAACGGCCUACCAAGGCGACGAUCCGUAGCUGGUCUGAGAGGACGACCAGCCACACUGGGACUGAGACACGGCCCAGACUCCUACGGGAGGCAGCAGUGGGGAAUAUUGGACAAUGGGGGAAACCCUGAUCCAGCGACGCCGCGUGUGUGAAGAAGGCCUGCGGGUUGUAAAGCACUUUUAGUGGGGAUGAAAAGCUCAGGGCUAACACCUCUGGGUCUUGACCUAACCCAAAGAAAAAGCACCGGCUAACUCUGUGCCAGCAGCCGCGGUAAUACAGAGGGUGCGGGCGUUAAUCGGAAUUACUGCGCGUAAAGCGUGCGUAGACGGUUAUGUAAGUCGGGUGUGAAAGC
rnacentral:rRNA from 1 species